rnacentral:rRNA from 1 species
ACGGGGUAGGAAUACAUCGGAACGUACCUUUUGGUUGAGAAUAGCGUUGGGAAACUGACGGUAAUACUCAAUAAAGUCGAGAGACCAAAGGUUUACUGCCGGAAGAGCGGCCGAUGCGAUAUUAGGUAGUUGGUGGGGUAAUGGCCUACCAAGCCUGAGAUGUCUAGGGGGGUGUGAGAGCAUGGCCCCCACCACUGGGACUGAGAUACUGCCCAGACACCUACGGGUGGCUGCAGUCGAGGAUCUUCGUCAAUGGGCGAAAGCCUGAACGAGCGACGCCGCGUGCGGGAUGAAGGCCCUUGGGUUGUAAACCGCUGUCAGGGGGGAUGAAACCGUAAGGUUGACAGAGCCCCAGAGGAAGCACGGGCUAAGUUCGUGCCAGCAGCCGCGGUAAUACGAACUGUGCGAACGUUACUCGGAAUCACUGGGCUUACAGGGUGCGUAGGUGGCUUGAUAAGCAGGGUGUGAAAUCCCUCGGCUCAACCGAGGAACUGCGCUCUGAACUGUCGAGCUAGAGUAUGCUAGAGGUGAAUGGAACAUCCAGU